rnacentral:rRNA from 1 species
UACGGGGGGAGCAAGCGUUGUUCGGAUUUACUGGGCGUAAAGGGCGCGUAGGCGGCCUCUGCAAGUCGACUGUGAAAUCUCCGGGCUUAACCCGGAAAGGUCAGCCGAUACUGCGGGGCUAGAGUGCAGAAGGGGCAACUGGAAUUCUCGGUGUAGCGGUGAAGUGCGUAGAUAUCGAGAGGAACACCUGCGGCGAAGGCGGGUUGCUGGGCUGACACUGACGCUGAGGCGCGAAAGCUAGGGGAGCGAACGGG